UCUAGAUUGUCUCCGAAUGCUGCAUAGUAGUGGGGGACCCACCUUUUUUGGGGUGAAUCUUGUUCUGGCAAGAGGGGCGACUUGGGCGUCCUAACCCGACAGCUAACCCCAUAGGAGUACACCAAGCGUGUGA
rnacentral:sRNA from 2 species